GCAAAGUUUGAAAGAUGUACUCAAACAAAUGUAAUAAAUAUAUGAAAGAAAAACUUUGUAAAAAUCUUGCUGAUUUGAAUUAUUUAUUAAAAUUUAUAGGUAAAUUUUUGAAUUAUUAAACACAUAUGUAUGGGUGAAACCUGAUCCAGCUUCUGUCGCUGCUGGAGAUAUUGGAGAUAGUGACGAGAAGGAUGUUGACGAGGAGGAUAAUUAUGAAGAUGACAAGGAUGAUGGUUAAAUGGCCGAGAACUAAACUGACCAAGGUUAGAUCUAUUGUGUCAAUUGUUUCUGCAAGACAUUAGGCUUUGAAGUAGAAAUAUUUUUCCUGGAUUUACAACCUCAGGUCACCGCACAGAGCCAGGAAAACGAGGAUUGGGAUGGUGAGGGUGAUAUCUUCAAAAAUGAUGAAGACGACAAUAUUCAUUAUCAGUUUAGAUAAAAAAAGAAUUAAUUCGAUUUUUAAAUUAAUGAGACGGUGCCGGAACACAAACUGACAGGAGGGUUCUAACUUGAGCAAGAAAGUUUGAAUAUGUAAUAAAGCUCUUUACAGAAGUGUUGUACUUUGCGGUAGUAGUAUUGGUGGUAUUUGGUGUCAAAGUAAAGUAAAGCUACAAGCUAAAUUUACUUACUCAAAUUGCAAAUUUGAAGAGCUCAUGAAAUUUUGACCAUUUUAAAAGUCUUAAUUAUUCUGGUCACUUAACAUCUUAUUUGUUUCAUAUGGCCCUACCCCCACACCUUCUCUUCCCAAACCAUUAAGAUCAUUACCCAUUGCCCAUCUCUACCCUUCGAUGUGUCAUGAUUAUUCUUAAAUGAUUAAUUUAUGAUACAAUUUUAAGAAGUAAUUUAAGAAUCUUAGUUUUAUGAAAACAUUAUGUAUCAAAAACCACUAUUUAUAAAAAGUAUUGUAAAAAAGACCAGACCAUUAUAUUUGAGAACUAAAUUUGUACUAAAUUUGUCCAUGUUUCUAUGUAAAAAAUCCACUUAAUUUUAAUGGAAAAAUUGUCCUUCACACAAUUAUUUGAGAUCUCUUACAAUUUAAUAUAAUCUGUUUUUCAUUAUUUUUAAUUGGACGAAUUGUAUCAGUAUUCUGUUUUUUUUCCUCAGAAAUUGUUAAUACUGAUUCCUCAGAAAUUCUAGGAAUUAGAUUCGUAAAGUAAUCGCAUAAUUAAUUUCGUUGAGGUUCUUUUUGAACUCAAGAAUUUCUUUGGUUUUUUUGGGGAACUCAUUCUCAGGAAAUUCUCGAGAAAAUCCCCAAAUUCAGGAAUUUCCCCAGAAUUAUCAUCAAGACUUUCUCCGGAAAUGGAAUCAGGAAUUUCUCCAGAAUUGGUAUCAAGAAUUUCUUUGGAAUUGGUGUCAGCAAAUUUUUCGGAAUUGGACUCCAGAAUUUCUCCAGAAUCAAACGGUGAGAAUUUCUCCAAAAUUGGAUUCAGGAAUGUCUAUGGAAUAAAUUUUGGGAUUUUCUCAGGAAUCGAACUAGAGAAUUUCUCUGGAAUUUGUAUCAAGAAUUGUUCCGGAAUUGGAUUCGAGAAUUUCUCCGGAAAUAAUUCCGGGGAACUUCUUGUAAUCAUUUCCGGAGAAAACCCCAAAAUCAAUUCCAGAGAAAUUUUUAAAUUUUUUAUGAGAAAUUCACGGAAUUUCUGUUAACAUUUUCACCGGAUUUUCCCGUGAAAUAUUCCUGGGAAUUUCCGCUGAUUUUUCGCAAAAUUAUUACAUGGGAUCUUGUGCAAUUUUUAUUUUAAAAUAAACAUUUGGAUUUUUGCAAAUUUGCAGUGGGAACAGGAUGAAACCCGAUUUUUUUCUCCAAACUGUUUUUUUUUACUGUUUUCCGGA